AUAAAACUUUAUUUGACUACGCUGGCCACUUCAACCGGAGCUGCUUUCCAAGUGGGGCGUAGAUAAAUGUUACAAAAAUAUAUAAAAUACAAAAUCACUAAGAAUAUUAAGAACUACGAAUACAAAUACAUAUUACAAAACAAAUGGUAUACAAAAGUCAAAUAGCUAAUUCGUCAGACUAACAGAGGAAAUAUUUCUAUUGAAAGAAUUUAAAGAUUCGCUGUUUCUUACUUGUUCAGAAAUGCUAUUCCAGAUUUUAACCCCACUAUAUCGAAAACAUUUUCUGCCAUACUCGGUAUUUGGUCGUGGCAGAAAGAGAGACGAAUUUGAACCUCGUAAAUUAUAACUGUGGAUAUGAUUAGAAUUCUGGAACAUUGAUGAGAACCUCGAUGGUGCUAAAUUAUUGACAACCUUAAACAUGAGACGGGCCAUAAUAUGUUUUCGCCUUUCUUCCAAGCUUAUCCACCCUAAUUAAUCGAGGGCCAGUUGAGAUUGCCCAGGCUCAUCUUUAAAGUUCAUUAUAAUUCUAGCACAUCUGUUGUGAAGUUUUUGUAGUCGUUCAGACUAGCCUCUAUUAAUGGAUUCCAAACUUCACAACAGUA